UGGCUCUCGCAUCGAUGAAGAACGCAGCGAAAUGCGAUAAGUAAUGUGAAUUGCAGAAUUCAGUGAAUCAUCGAAUCUUUGAACGCACCUUGCGCUCCUUGGUAUUCCGAGGAGCAUGCCUGUUUGAGUGUCAUUAAAUUCUCAACCCCUCCAGUUGUGAUGGGGCUUGGAUAUGGGGGCUUGCGGGUCUUUACUGAUGUAAAGGUCAGCUCUCCUGAAAUACAUUAGCGGAACCGUUUGCAGUCCCGUCACUAGUGUGAUAAUUAUCUACACUGUGAUGAUUGCUCUCUGACUAGUUCAGCUGCUAAUCGUCCGUUAUGGACAAUGUUUAAUGAACUUCUUGACCUCAAAUCAGGUAGGACUACCCGCUGA
rnacentral:misc_RNA from 1 species